UGACCUCCAUCCCACACAUCUCAUGGAGCAAGAUGUCUAGAAGCAAGCUCUUAAGAAGUUUGGAAAAUGACUUUGAAUUAGUUUAUGUGGUUCACUCAUGCUUGUCCUGGGAAGCACUCCAUUACCAAUACCAAAAGGUUAGGGUGUUAUGCGAGAAGGCUAAGGGGAUUCUAAUGGAAGAAAGCAAUGUGACCAUCUUUUGUCUUGACUCUUCCCGAUAAGAAUAAACAAACUUGUCCAAUAUGCCAUAUAAUGUGGAAGUAGGUUCUUCACAAUCUUCCAUCCUCGGUGAAGCUACCAUCAACCUGCUGAUUAUGCUGAUGCACUGAAGCCUUCUGCCAUUGCACUGCCUCUACAUGGAUGUAAGUCUGGAACUAUUUUACAUGUGAGACACUUCUAUCAGUUCUUUAAGCUUUUAAACAGAUACCUUUUUCAAUUGUAACCAGUGGCCAAGUUGAAUGUAUUAGUUGAGCAGAAACAUCAAAAUUCAAAUGAAGAAUUUUGAAUUUAUUGCGCUUCU